CCAAUAGCGUAUAUUAAAGUUGUUGCAGUUAAAAAGCUCGUAGUUGAACUUCGGGGUCUACCCAUUGGUCAGGCUUAAUUGUCUGCACUGGUGAGAUGGAUCUCUACCUUCUGAGGAACUUUCAUGCCAUUUAUUUGGUGUGAUGGGAAAUCAGGACUGUUACUUUGAAAAAAUUAGAGUGUUUAAAGCAGACUAUCGUCUGAAUACAUUAGCAUGGAAUAAUGAAAUAGGACGGACUGAUUCUAUUUCGUUGGUUUCUAGGAUCACCGUAAUGAUUAAUAGGGAUAGUUGGGGGCAUUAGUAUUCAAUUGUCAGAGGUGAAAUUCUUGGAUUUAUUGAAGACUAACUACUGCGAAAGCAUUUGCCAAGGAUGUUUUCAUUAAUCAAGAACGAAAGUUAGGGGAUCGAAGACGAUCAGAUACCGUCGUAGUCUUAACCAUAAACUACGCCGACUAGGGAUCGGACGAAGUUAAUUUUAUAAUGACGCGUUCGGCACCUUACG
rnacentral:rRNA from 1 species